AGUAAUGCUUGGGAAUCUAGCUUAUGGAGGGGGAUAACUACGGGAAACUGUAGCUAAUACCGCGUAGAAUCGGGAGAUGAAAGUGUGGGACCUUCGGGCCACAUGCCAUAGGAUGAGCCCAAGUGGGAUUAGGUAGUUGGUGAGGUAAAGGCUCACCAAGCCGACGAUCUCUAGCUGGUCUGAGGGGAUGACCAGCCACACUGGGACUGAGACACGGCCCAG
rnacentral:rRNA from 1 species